AUGGAGGAGAAAUGUGAUGACCUCAACUCUAGGCACCCGAAAUUCAAGAAAACAACAUACCGUUUUUUGGUGGGUGAUGCCUGUGUGGUCAUUGAAUUCCUUUCUUUUCAGCCUACCACCCACAGUCUUGAAUUGCUUCCUGGGAUGACAGCCUCCCCAAUAGUCACUGUGCCCUCGAUCCUGCACGCCCUAGUAAGGCCAUGGGGACAGGCGGCCGGAUUACACCCUACUGGGGAGUCUUCUUGCUCUCCCCCGAAGACUCAGGGAUGGGUUUGCCAUACCUGCCCUAGAAAGAAAGAAAUAAGACAUGAUGAAUGGAUCAAAAUCCUAACCUCCACUUCCCAUCUUCCUCCUAUCCUGCAAGUGCUUUUUUUUUUUAAAUCUUUCGUGAGUAUGUUUUUAUGCUUUUAUUACACAUUUGUGUAUUUAUGGAUACUGUCCUAUUGCUACUUGCUUUCUGCAUCUGACAUCAUGUGUUUGAGGGCCAUUCCUCUUGAUUCAUGCAACUCUUUCUCAUUUUGGUAGCGGAAAAAAUUUCAUUGUGCAACCGAGUUGGUUUAUCCGUCAUCUGGUUCCUUGGCAGAUUUUUCCAGUUUUCCUAUUUUAUGUGUAAUGAGCUCAAAGAAACACUUUCUUUGUAAAUAUAUGUGAACACUUUUGUAGGAUAGAUGAUAGGAGUAGAAGAUAUAGUGAAAAGAAGGGCCAUCUGCGCCCCAAUGUUUAUAGCAGCAAUGACCACAGUCACCAAACUGUGGAAAAAGCCAAGAUGCCCUUCAAUGGACGAAUGCAUAAGGAAGAUGUGGUCCAUAUACCCUAUGGAGUAUUAUGCCUCCAUCAGAAAGGAUGAAUACCCAACUUUUGUAGCAACAUGGACGGGACUGGAGGGGAUGAUGCUGAGUGAAACAAGUCAAGCAGAGAGAGUCAAUUAUCAUAUGGUUUCACUUAUUUGUGGAGCAUAAGGAAUAACACGGAGGACACUGGGAGAUGGGAAGGAGAAGGGAGUUGGGGGAAAUUGGAGGGGGAGACGAACCCUGAGAGACUGUGGACUCUGAGAAACAGUCUGAGGGUUUUGGAGGGGCAGCACGGGGGAUGAGCCUGGUGGUGGGUACUAAGGAGGGCAUGUAUUGUAUGGAGCACGGAGUGUGCUGCAUAAACAAUGAAUUCUGGAACACUGAAAAGAAAUUAAAAAAAAAGAUGAUAGGUUUCUGGUCAUUGUGAUUGUCAUUAUGUAUGUAUGUACAUAUCUAUUUGUCUGUCUUUCUAUCUUCUACAUCUUUCUUCAAGUUGAUUGGGUAUUAUCCAGUUCUUCUUUGAAGACGUUCAACCAAUUUACAUUCCACUCACAGCAUGAAAGAGUUGCUGUUCCAGAGCAGGUAAGUAGUUGGUGCCAAACUAGAUACAGUGGUGAAAUAGGUCAACUUUGUCUUCCAGUUGCUACCCUUUGGGAGAGUUCCCCCUGACUUAGAGUCUCCACUUCUGAGGUGCCCCAGAACUCUCAGGGCAUGACUUUAGGAGUUGUACCUCUUGAAAGAUACAUCAGUCACUAGGUUUGUUAGACAUUUUAAUGUUUUACCACUCUGAUGGGUGUAGGUUUUGUUUUACUUUGCUAAUUUCUUUCAUUUUAAUAGCUGUAUUGAUUUUCAAUGAAUAGAAUUUCUUUGUUUUUUAGGUGUGCCUGGGUGGCUCAGUGGGUUAAGCCUCUGCCUUCUGCUCGGGUCAUGAUCUCAGGGUCCUGGGAUCAAGACCUGCAUUGGGUUCUCUGCUCAGCAGGGAGCCUGCUUUCCCCAAAC
rnacentral:lncRNA from 1 species